rnacentral:misc_RNA from 1 species
AAAGCCCUCCUGUUCCUUUGAUCUGAAAAAUCCAAACUACUAUUAAUUAAAGGUAUACCAGUUAGGCUAACAAUUCAUUUUCAUUAGAAUCUACGGCCACCUAUUAUACUCCUAUGACAGAACACGCCAACUCUCAAAGUUAUCUAGCUCGAGUACUUCACCAGUAACAGGUGCAACAUGCUCACCAAGAUAAUGCCAAUUGGCGACCUUUAAUAAUUGGCUAUAUCUAAUUUAGUAUAGCCUCUCUAACAGUUGUCAAUUCUAACCAAGGAACCAUUUGGAAACAAAAAUUAUACCCAUUUUACAUUCUAAUCUAAUGAUAAAAAUCUGUCUAAUCUAGUAAACUUGUGCGGCGGAAUUUAAAUUGUCUUUUUCACCUUCAUAAACCAACAGUAAUGACAGAACUAAAAUCAGAUUUGAGCAUUGAUCACAUGAACCAACAUGUCAAUACAUCAACAGAUCAGUGACCCAAACAUCUGUGAAAUGA